rnacentral:tRNA from 1 species
AGAGAUAUAGCUCAGUUGGUAGAGUGUUUGCCUCACAUGUACAAGACCCUGGGUUUUAAUCCCCAGUACCACAC